rnacentral:ncRNA from 1 species
CAGAGAUUAAACGUGAUCUAACCAUGAACAGAUUGAAAAAUAGGUAAAACUAUUACUUAGUAAGAGGAUCGAACUCACAUAUGUGGCAAAAUAUGGAGAUGAUUUGUGGUUAGGAGUGAAAGGCUAAUCAAACUCAGAGAUAGCUG